CUUUCUCAGUCUCUGCCUUUCAGGUACAAUGGGUCUGCAUCCUCAUUUUCCUGCAACCUGACCCUGGCCUGGCUUCUCUGCUAGUGUAGACAAGGCUAAAGAGAAGUAUUCGGAAGCUCAUUCGUAUUUGCUCUGCAAUCUGCUUCCCAAUUAGACCUUGUGUUCUGCUCUGCUCCAGGAAAAGAGACAAAAGAAAAUGCAGACAGGGACCCUACUUCCACUAAUGAGUGAUCUCCGUGCGCAGAGUUAAUGCCAACCCCUGUUUGGCCACCAGGCCAUCGCCAGCAUGGGGUGAACACACAGACUAAUUUGUGUGGAAUAGAAACACAUUUUUUACAUGGUGCCUUGACACCAAGACAGGCAUUUCCUCCCCACCAAACAAGCCCAAUUAUCGUGGUAUGCUCCAUGGCCUUUUCCGCGCUAUGGUUACAAAUUCUCUUAACUCUUUAUAGCACUGAGAGAAGCAAAAGGAAGAAUGGUACCCAUGGAGCAUCACGGGAGGGGAGAGGUUGAAUCUGGAGAGGUGAGCCAUGCAGGUUGGGUGUUGGCAACCACGGUGUCUGGCUCAAGAAGCUGCUCCCCCAUUGGGUCCCUCAGUGGCCCCACACGUGCCGAGACACCUCUGAUCUUCAUCAAAUGGAAAGAGAGAGGGGAAGAGAAGAUGAAGCUGAUCCCUCUCUCUCCUGUCUCCACAUUGGAAAAAAAGAGAAGCAAUGUGUCCGGAGUUGCAGAGCUGGAGUCUGACCUGGGGUGUCUUGGGUGCCAGCUGGGAGCGUGUCCUUCUAGCAUGAAGACCUCGGGAACUGCUCUGUGUCUAUAUCCCAUCUUCACCACUUCCUAACCUAACCCUAUGACCUUUGGUGGAUUGCUGCAUCUCCAUGCAUUUCAUCUCCAUGCAGUUGUUUCAUCUGUAAAAGGGAAAUAACACCUCCCGCCACCCAGGGCCACUGCAAGGGCUCAGGGAGCAAUGUAAGCAAAGCACUUAGCCCAAUGGGUACUUAGCACUCAUAACAUGGACGUUCUCUUUGUAAUCUUGGUUAAUAGCCCUUUUACUCCUGGACACUAAUCGGGUUCUUGAAUCCAGUUGAGGGAGUGAGAAAAUUAAGAUAACCAAGUAGUUUAGUGACAACAUUAUGUAAAACUGUCUCCCUGUGGAUCUUUCUAAGCUAAAUAGAAAACGACAUUUGAAUUUCCAAAAGUAACAGUAAACUCUCUUAUCAUUGGGGAAUGAGGAGGCUGGUUAAUCAAAUACAGAGAAAUCAGAGUUAAUCAAAUAAAGAGUUACUGUGUUGACUGAGUUGGAAUUAG
rnacentral:lncRNA from 12 species